CGCCGUCCCGCACCUUGCUUUUUAGGGUUCUUUUUCCGCUUUCUGAGCCCUUUUAUACCUUACGUUUAGAAGGGGAAAAUCAUCCUCCCACACCUUCUCCCCGACUUUUUGCCUUUUUUGUCUUGAAGUUACCCAAAGGCCUGUGUAUUGUUCUCAAUGGUCCCAAGAAUUACUCUAAUAUAGUUGUUUUUCUGAGGGAGGAUGGAUGGAGAUAACUAUCCUGAUCCCAAUGUCACUUUUUAAGGCAUUCGCUUCAAGAGACAAGCAGUUUAGAAUCAGGCAGAACUGGAUUGCAAAAUUUAUGGGCAGACCGGUAUGUGUGCAGAGAAAAUGCUGCUGUGAAGACCCAAUUAAAGCUUUCACAUAAAUGAAGCUACAGCUAUCAUGAUUUAGUGCCCCCAAAAGGAAGAACUUCAGUGGACAAGAAAGGACAUUUCUGGGGGUAGUAGAAUGCUUGAGGCCUGGAAUUUAAACCUGAGCCACUAUCUGAAGCUAUUAAAUAAUAGAAGAAAAUGGAAUUGAAUAUGAUGUCAGCAUGGAACAAUCUAAUGAUUCAUUAAGAGUCAACCAUAAUGACGGUGAAGAGUCAAAAACCAGUGCUCAAGUAUUUGAGCAUCUAAUCUGUAUGGACUCCAGGGAUUCUUCCUUUGGACAAAAUGAUUCUCCUACAGUUUUGCCCAUCACUACUCGUGAAGCAAAUAAUUCACUCAUAUCACAGAAUAUACCAGGGCCCCUGACUCAGACACAGACUCUUU
rnacentral:lncRNA from 1 species